GACAGAGGUGCCAAGCGUUAGGCGGAAUCACUGGGCUUAAAGCGUGUGUAGGCGGAUCGUUAAGUACCUUGUGAAAUCCCACGGCUCAACCGUGGAACUGCUGGGUAUACUGGCGGUCUUGAGCCACCUAGGGGCAACUGGAACAAGCGGUGGAGCGGUGAAAUGCGUAGAUAUCAGGAGGAACACCGGUGGCGAAGGCGGGUCUCUGGGCAACAACUGACGCUGAGGAGCGAAAGCGUGGGGAGCGAACAGG
rnacentral:rRNA from 1 species